AGAAGAUACGGCUUGGGUUCAAGUCCCAGUGGAAGGAACAGGCUAAGAAAACCAGAGCUUCUUUUUCUUAAUCGAAGAAGGGCUUAGAUUCUUUUUUGUCCAUUUUUCCAAGCUGUUUGGGAGGGUUUUACACCAGUCCUGAAUAGGCCU